AGCCUUUACUCCCUGACUCAGGUGGACAGUUCUUUGUCCUCCUCUGACCCUCCCAAGUUAUUCCCCAAGCUCUCAAAUCUCAGGCUGGCAGCUUCGAUCUAGAAAGUAUAGUAAGCGAUGUGAUCCAAACUCGGAAAAACAAAGACCGCGUAUUUCUCACUCAGGUGCAGAUCCUCCUAGUCUGCAAUGGACAUAAAGUGGGAGUGUGGGUAAAGCCUAACAGACUAGAAAGGAGACCAAGAGAGGGUAAAAAGAGUUGUUGAGAAAAGAUCAAGCUGACUCAUGGCUUGAAGUUCAGAUUCAAAAAUCCACCCUGGUUCUUAGGAGGAGAUUGCUGUAAAAGCCAGUUCCGCUGUCUCGCUCCUGUUCCCGAUUCUCACCAUUAUGAUGGCUGUGGAGCCUUGGAACUCUGCCAGCACAAAGGCCCCAAAUGUUGUUCCUGUAACUUAAACUUCAACUGUGAACUAAAAUAAAUUUCUUUUUGUUAUAAUGUGCUCA